UUCCAGGGAGUUCAGUGUGUCCACCAGCAAACUGGCUAUUCCGGAAGAAAACACUAUCCAAAUCCUGUGCACUGACAUCCUGCAAUGUCUGGACACCUCAGUCACUGGAAUGACCCAAGUGUUAUGGCCAAGGCUUCUCGAAUAUGUGGUGCCAGCUCAGUACACU